GUCUUUUUGAUUAUAAUAUAAAGUCUGGCCUGCCCACUGAAAAUUUAAAGGGCCGCAGUAUUUUAACUGUGCAAAGGUAGCAUAAUAAUUAGUUUCUUAAUUAGAAGCUGGUAUGAAUGGUUAAACGAAAAAUUAACUGUCUCAAUUUAUAAAUUAAAAUUUUAUUUUUAAGUUAAAAAGCUUAAAUAAUUUUAAAAGACGAGAAGACCCUAUAGAGUUUUAUAAGAAUUUAAAUUUUGAUUUUAGAAUUUAUAUAAUUAAAAUUUUUAUUUUAUUGGGGUGAUAUGUAAAUUUAAUAAACUUUAUAUUUUUAUUAACAUUUAUAAAUGAAUAUAUGAUCCAUUUUUUGUGAUUAAAAGAAAAAAUUACCUUAGGGAUAACAGCGUUAUUUUUUUUUAGAGUUCUAAUCGAAAAAAAAGAUUGCGACCUCGAUGUUGGAUUAAAAUUAAUUUUUGGUGUAGAAGCUGAAAAAUUAGGUCUGUUCGACCUUUAAAAUUUUACAUGAUCUGAGUUUAGACCGGCGUGAGCCAGGUUGGUUUCUAUCUUUAAAUUAUUUAAAUAUUUUAGUACGAAAGGACCAAAUAUUUUUAAUAUUUAAUAUAUUUUGAAUA
rnacentral:rRNA from 1 species